GUGUCCGUAAUUAUUAUAAAAGACUUUGUAAUAUUUGUGGAUAUAUAUUUCCCGAUGACAGAGAUCAUGGGUAGCGGUCAGAAAUCUUUCUAUCAGGGAAAAUGAAUCGAUCCCUGUCCUCCGCAGAUUCUAGGCGCUCUUUGACCUGGAGAGCUAGUACCUGAUAGGCUCCCUUUUCCAGGGUUACGGAUGAAAGACUCAGUGACAGUGAAGAAGAACUUGAUGGAUAGAGGCUUAAAUCGUAAAGAGCUCAGUUUGUCUAUGAUGGAAUUUUUAAUUUAGGAGAAGGACACUAUUAGACAGAAUAGUGAGACUACGAGGGUGUCUAGAAGAGGUCAUAUAUCAACAGAGGCUACUGUAGAAAAUGCUAACAAUUAUUUAUUUUUGUUCUCCUAGUCUCAGUAAUGUUGAAUGGGAGAAACAGCACAUUCUUUUCCAGCAUUCAUGUUAGUGAUGUAAGUCUGACACGCAUUUCUGUCCGGGUUGAUUGAAUCAUUUUAAAUUGAUUGGAUAACUUUUAAUUAAUUAUUAAUCUUUGUUUUGAAAUGAACAGAAUCUCGGAUAUCAGGACCGGGAAUGGACAGGAGGGCAAGGCUUUCAGUUAUGUUGAAUUUAUGAAGAUAGUACAUACUACACGGUACUUACAUUAUUACAUUACUUACGUUAUAUUUACAUAUAUGGACUUAUAAGUUACAUUACAAUUAUAAAUUUUGCAAAAUAAAUGUCUAUUCAACCCCUCCUAGAACUUCAUGAAGAAGACGAAACCAUAUAAGGUCAUUAUUAUUUCUAUUAAAUAUUUGUUGAAUAACUUUCGGGUGUUAAGUGAUGGGGGCCCCUAGAAGACAUCCAAAAAUAGUUAUUAUUGUAAGAAAAUAGAUUAGUUAUUACUCUGUACUCCUGAGAUCGGAUUUUUAAACCUUGGCAGAAAUAGAAGAGAUAAGAAAUGGGGAUUGUACUUUAAUUGACAUCCAUAGAAAAUAUACCACUAAAUCCUACCCCACUACCCUACCACCAUGAUUGUUCACAAGAUAAGAAAAAAUGUGAAGUUACAAAGAAAUAUUUGUUGGAGGAUCUAGGAAGUUGCCAUAUGCCAUAUAUCAGUUUCAAGUUGCUAUAAUCAAACAAUGUAUCAGGAUGCUUUACAAGAGAAGAAAAAAUGUAUAGAAAUAUGUAUUUAUUUAUCGGAGGAACUACUAGAAAGUUACUACAUAAUAGGAAGAAAUAGUAGGAAGUGGUCAUAUAUUGUUUUGAACUUGUCGUAAUCAAGCCGUAUGUUAUUUGGAUUUUUCAUAACAGAAGAAAAAAUGUGAAGUUAGAGAGAUAUAUUUAUCGGAGGAACUAGAGUAGGAAGUCGCCAUAUAUUAUUUUGAAGUUUUACUACAAUUACAUUAUCCUUCAUACAAGAACUUGAAGAUGAAAGUUACUUCAUAAAUACAAAAAAAACCUACACUACCAUGGAUCAUGUGAAAAUUAUGCAAAUACGAAUUAAAGAAAAUAAGUUGAAUAUUGUAUUAAUGAAUGGUACACACUCCCUAAUUUCUAAUUUUAUGUCUUAUGGCGAUGUCAGUAAUUCAUUCGGAUAUUAUAAUGUAUGAUAUAAUGCCGAGAAGCCCUAAUGAAAUAAGGAAUGCAUUUGCCUGAUAUAGAAACUCUGGCCAAUAUAUACAAAGAAGCCAAAGCAAGUUGAUAUAUAAAACAACCCCAGAAUUCCCAACUUGCAAAGGAGUAUCACAGGGAGACGCAAUAUUACCAAAGCUCUGUACAUCAACACUAGACGAAAUCUUCCGUCAACUAGAUACCGGAACUAUCCAUCUCUAGUACCCACGACAGAUUAAGAAAUCAAGGAGAAUAGCAAACCUAAGAUGAGGUCAUGAUAUUGGGAGAUUAGCAGGGAUAAUUUGGACCUGCAUAGCCAACAGUAGACAACAUUGGGCUCCAAUAAACUACAAAGAGAGUAUCUAAAUAUGUAAGGGAGGCUACAUCAUAAUGUGCAGUGGUGGAAUAAG